UAUAUAUUCAGCUUUGUCUGCUAAAAGGGCCUAUAAAUCAAAUACAUCCUAUUAGUAAUAAGCACAUUUUGCACUGAGAUCUUGGUUUUUAAUACCAUUCCCACUGAAAAGAAUCAGGGUUCAUUAGAGAACUGAUUGAUUCUGGGACUAGAGCAUUAUAGAUAUGAGAUGAGGAGCCUGAAACAUGUCGUUAUGCCAAAAGAUAUAAAAGAACUUAAAAACAGGAGGCAUGUCACAGAAUAAGGAACGACCCUAAAGGGGCUUCUACCAGCCAAAUCUGUAUCAUUAGGCGCCAAGAAGAUUAAGGACAUUAAUAAAUUGUAGCCUAUUGAAAAAGUUGGGUAUCAACGAGUUCAUAUUGAUGAGAAAGGGAGAGAAGGUGGGGGAGAGCUCUUCAUCAAGGAGAAUGAAUCUGGGGGUCAAUGGUCAGUGUGGAGGGAGUUCUAGAGUCAGGAAUUCUUCAUUUUGCAACUCUCAUAUUAAAAUGGGUCAGGCAAGAAUCCUCUAACAAUGCUAAAUUUAGGAGGAAAUAUGAGGAGAAGGAUAUUUAUAUGGUUUUAAAGUGUCUCCUCAGAUUGCUUAUUAGUUGGAAAGGGAAAAAUAAUGAGUAUAUAUAAUGGACAAAUUGGACAGCACCUUACCCAGGCGAUCAGUGAGAAGCUAAUGGACAUCCUAUAUGUUUUGAUGUGAAGCCUGAGAAGGA
rnacentral:lncRNA from 1 species